GGUCCUGGUCUCCCGAGUGACCUCUGAACCUGCCUUUCUACCUGUCCUGCACGAGGAUUCCUUCUCUGCAGUGAAGUCUUCGGAAGUAGCUGUCCACCUGCCGCGGAGGCGCGCACCAAAAGCACCAUGAUGGCUGGGAAUGCAUUUGCUGUACAUCCUGGUAUGAGGCCUGGCCCAGCUGAAAUUGGUCGCCUAACAACUGGAUGGUGAGACUCUAUAUUGCUGAAUACACAGCACACUUCGGCUGCAGCACAUUCAGAAAUCAAGCUGGAACUGACCUAAUGGCACUUUCACAGUGCCAGAAGGUGCUAUGCAGGUUUCCGGGGGAGAAAAGUCAUCAAUGGCAUUGUCCAGCGGUGAACCCUGAAUGCUGCAGUAGUGAGCUGCCAGGUAAGGUGUGCCCAGCGGUGAACCCUGAAUGCUGCAGUAGUGAGCUGCCAGGUAAGGUGUGCCCAGCGGUGAACUCUGAAUGCUGCAGUAGUGAGCUGCCAGGUAAGGUGUGCCCAGUGGGGGCAAUAGUGACAUGAAGGUUAUGGGAGUAACCAACCGCUUUCUGAGUGGAGCUGAGGCCUGCUCCACAGGAGAGAAUCUAUGCCCGGUACUGUAGACCCGCUCAAAAGCCCAUGGCUCAGAGGUCAUAGACCCUGGGAGGGAGCCUAUUACUGAUAUUUCACUAAAUGGGACAUGUUGUUAAACAGGGUUUUUUGGGGGGGCGGGGAGGACAGGGUUUCUCUGUGUAGUUUUGGUGCCUGUCCUGGAUCUCACUCUGUAGACCAGGCUGGCCUCGAACUCACAGAGAUCCACCUGCCUCUGCCUCCCGAGUGCUGGGAUUAAAGGCGUGUGCCACUGCUGCCCAGCAUCCAACAGCUUUCUAAAUAUUUGUUUAUACCCAUAGCUUAGUGCUGCUCUCACCCUUGGCCAGAGAACUGCAGAGGGCAACAAUGAAUGCAGAGAGUAAGUGACUGUCGAGUGCUCAGCCCUAAAUGGGGCAUAUGUAUCAGUUCUCCAAAGGCUCAGGGGACAUCAGGGAAGAGGGGACAGGAAGAAUAGAGGUGCUGGGGCAUGAGGAGGAGUACUACAAGCUGCUGUGUUCUGGACUGACAUGUUCAUGGCACUCAUGAAUGCAGAGCAGCGGUGGUUUCCUGCACAAGACCAAGCCAGUGAGAGCAGUCGCCAUUCCAACAGGCAGCACUAAUUGGACUCUGGGUUAUAAAAAUAAAUAAUAAACAAAUAAAUGAGAGGACAUGAAGAUGGGAGGGGACAUAUUGGAGGGUGUCUGAUGGGGGGCUGAGAGGGGACACCCAGGAAUGGGUAUGAUCAAGAUACAGUGUGCAUGUAAAAUUGUCAAAGAUACUCAAAAUAAAGUAAAAUAAAAAUAUGAAAUAAAACUGAUCAUGUGUGGUGUUCCACACCUUUAAUCCCAACACUUGGGAAGCAGAGGCAGAUGAUAUCUAUGAAUUUAAGACCACCUUGGUCUACAGAGAGUUUCAGGCUAGCUAGUGCUACAAAGUGAGACCCUAUUCAAAAAUAAGUAGAUAGAAAGAUAGAUAGAUAGAUAGAUAGAUAGAUAGAUAGAUAGAUAGAUAGAUAAAACAAGAGGGCUGUAGCCUCUAAGCCAUGCAGAGAUUAGUCAUUCUUGAAAAACUAUAUGGCUUCUAAAUCCAGAGAAAUUUCCAGACUUGUCAAGGACUUUCAUGCCAAGCUCUCUAAACAACCAUUAAUUUACACUUUGCGGUUGCAGUUGGAAGGGGAACAGUGGAUCAAAGCUGGGGGCGGGGGGAGCCCAGAACACCAUUGAUCGUGCCUGGAAACAUCAUGGAAAAUGAUUUAUCAAAUGUUUGUUGGGGUCAUUCUCAAAAGUGCAUCAGGGAGUGUCCUGAAAACCGCGCCAGAGCUCAGAAUGGGCACCAGUGCUCUCAGAGUCUGCAAAUGGGACUCAGCCUGUGAUAGCCCAGAGCACGGUGUUUGAGACAGGCACUGCCCAUUCCAGCUCACAGGCAAUGUCUGGAGUGGUGCCUGGAGACGCCAGGCUGGUGCUCAGGUACUUCAGAAACAGUGAUGGGCAUGCAUGGAAGUCCCCAAAGUCACAAUCAAGGCUCCAUCCCUGACAGCCCAGAACAUCCAAGGGGAAGCAUUUGUUCUUUGGCGGGUAAACCAGUGCUUAGAAACCCAAGAAAUCAGCCAGAAUUUGGAUAAGCAGCUCAGGUUCUGGGUAUCUGACAUAAAAGGGGAAAUUUUUUUUCUUUCCUUCCUUUCUGUUUCUUACUUAUUUAUUAUGUUGUUGUUGUUGUUGUUGAGACAGGUCUUAUUGUGUAGACCAGGCCUGCCUCUGCCUCCUGAGUGCUGGGAUUAAAGGCGUGCAUCUCCGUAUUCCACUUGUUCUGUUUUUAAGGGAUGAAGUUUUGCUGUGUUGGCUGCUCACACUGGUCUCAGUCUCCUGGGCUCAAGGGAUCCUCCCACCUCAGCCUGGAGAGACUGGGACUGCAGGUCCACAGCACAACACCCAGGUUAAGUGGCAGAUUUUUUAAAUAAACUUUCUUGCCAAAAUAUAUAUGUUCAGAAAAUGAGCAGUUCUCUAAACUUCCACAGAGUGAACACUCAUGUGGCUCCUGCCUAUCCCUGUCGCUCAUCAGUAGCCGCUGUAUUGACUUCUAGCCUGCUGCUUAACUCUGCCUGUCCUUGGACUUCAUUGCGAACUUGAUUGGGUUUGGAGUCACCUAGGAGACACACCGCAGGGCAUGUCAGUGAGAAUGUUUCCAGAGAGUUUUGACUGAGAUGGGAAGACCCACCCCAAACGUGGGCAGCAGUACCCGAUGGGCUGGUGUCCUAGCCUGGGUAGGAAGAGGAAAGGUAGGAAGACAACGGUACCGUCACUGGUCUCUCUCUGCCUCCUUACUGACCCAGUGUGACCAGCUGCCUCCUGCUCCUGCCAGCUGGAGCCACUUUGGCUGCCACCUUCCCCACCAAGCUGUGACUCUAGCUGCCGGCCCCUCCACUGAACAUCACUGCUCCAUACAGCUGUGACCCUAGCUGCCGGCCCCUCCACUGAACAUCACUGCUCCAUACAGCUGUGACCCUAACUUCCAGCUCCUCCACUGAACAUUUGAGGACCAUACUCAUGUGGCCACCUGCAGGGUUUCUCUGUGUAGCUUUGGAGCCUUUCCUGGAACUCACUCUGUAGCCCAGACUGGCCUCGAACUCACAGAGAUCCACCUGCCUCUGCCUCCCGAGUGCUGGGAUUAAAGGUGUGCGCCACGACCGCCUGGCUUGGCAUUUCUGUUUCUUGAUUUGAUGUGAAUUACAUGAAUUUGGAAUUUGGAAAUGCCAUUGAGCUAACACACUUACCAUGUGAUUAUGUUAGAUUUGAAUUUCAGGUUUAUUUCUGAGGUCCAAGGGCUUUGGACCACUGGGGAUUGAGCCAGCUAGCCUCUCUGGGCAUUCUUCCACACAGCCCCUUGGAAGGACAUGUGAGCAGACAAAGACUCCCAAGUCACACGUUCCCAAACCCGCUGCCCCCACCACUCUUUGGUCACCCCUGAUAGCCUGGAUAUCUUGCUGCACCAGGUUUCUCCUCUCCAUGUCCUGCCUCUGGAUUGAAGCUGGUUUCCUGCCCUUCUACUCAGCAAAAAUGUAGAAGAAACAAGUGUCACCAGCUGUAUGUCAAACCUGUGGUGGUCUUAGGAGUGAAGAUCCCAUCACAGGAGCUGUGAGGAGCAGGAACGGACACCGAUGACUUCGGUAGACAGUAUGAGGCAAGCGUCUGUGAGUUACACACCCUGGCCACAUACCCACAGAUGGUGUCUGAGACACUAGAAUUUAAUCAUUGAAUUCUCUGAAUUCUAGCCUAGACAUUUUGGUUGCAAGAAGAAAACUGACUCCAGUUGUAUUUUGGAAUCGAAGUUUAUUGGAGGGAAAUGCUACACAGGCUCCCGGAGAAAGUGUGGUAUUCAGGCACAAAAAGAAACGGGGCCUGAGGAGGAUCAGAAGUUCAAGGUCAUCCACUCUUGAGAUGAAGUCAGCUUGAGCUCCAGGAGACCUUGUCUGGGGUGGGGGAGGAAGGAAAGAAGAGAAGGGAGGAAAUGGGCCUAGAACAAGCAAGAGCACCACCUUGGCCACACAGGCCCCCCUUUCUGCCUCAUCCCCAACCUUCUAGCUCCUCCCCAACCCCACUGCUCUCCAGGCUCUCAGCUCUAGGCCCUUUGUUUCUUUUACCAUCUACUACCAGGCUACAGCAGGAGUCCCCAACCACUGUAGGCCUGGUUCCCUUCUAUCCCUGACCUCCCAGGAGCACUGCAUUCCUUCUUGGUGAUACUCAUUUGUUUUAACAGACACUGGAGCAUAGGUGUUCAGGAAAUGUACAGCUGUUCACUUUGCUGUGUAGAGGGAUGUACCCAGAGCAGGAACGCCCAGAGCAAGGAUGCUUGUUCACGCUUGGACAGGUACUGCUCCGGCGCCACGACUGUCUGCUUCCCACCAUGAUGAUCGUGAACUAACCCUCUAAAAUUGACCAAGCUCACUGCAGUCACCUGAGCUUCGUAACCAAAGGCAACAUGUGGGGGAUGGAGAAAAGCCCAAGAGAGAAGGAUCCUGAGCUCCAAUAUCUUAUACCACCAUAGCAUAACCAGUAUAGGAGAGAAAAAUAAAACUCUGUCACGCCGAGGUCACUGUGUUCAGUCUCUGUUAAAACAGCCUGACUUAUAUUCCGUCUGGUACAGAGUAUCUUAGCAAGUCUGCAAGGACCCAGAUGCUGUUCUGACCUAUCAAGAAGGUCCAAGGUGGCCUUUGAAGAGAAAGAGGCAAAGCUUCACAGAGAGAAGUGGGCAACCUGACUGACUCAGUCUCAGAGCCCUGGCGGCAGCUGGUUGACCUCCAUUCCACCUCUCUCCAUCCGUUCUUCUUAGGAGCAAGAGGCUUGGGAUGCAGGUCACGGAAAAUCAGAUGCUGCCGUGCUGCUUGUACAGAGGUAGGCAGGACCUUGUUCACAACACCUGACUUGUCUGACAGUGGCAACCUCCUCCUCCUCCUCCUCCUCCUGAGGGCAGGUGAGUCAUCCGUCAGCUCAGGGGUGUGGCAUCAGAUGGCGUUCCAUGUGUGGCUGCAUCCAGAGCUAGGAGCUUCCCAUAAAGAAACCGUGGGUCAAGGAAGGUCCCACACUGACUGGGGUCCUAGGAAGAGGUCAUCUACAGAAGAGG